CAACAGAGAACCAACAAAACACCCACCCCUUCACCAUUGAUAAAAACCAAACAGAGCCACCACCAGACCUAUCUUCCACCCACGACCUCUCUUUUUCUCACCUCCUUCCUCAUCUUGCUCUCACAAAUUAAUAGACCAAAUAAUCGAAUCACGCCGAAAGAGGUGAGUCUCACCAAAUAUGGAGACCUAUGAAGUUUCGUGGCUUCCGUCCUCUCAUCUCCUCUAUUGGUGACGAAUUUCAGAUCUGGUCGAAUGUUUGUUUAAAUCUGACGAUCCGUCUAGCCUCUGUAGGUUAUUGUUCCAGUGCUCUUUGUCGUAUAAGUCGCACUCAGUUAGAGCACACGCAGCAAGGAGGUUCUGUUCGAGUCAUUUGUUCGAGUUUCCGGCGCCGCUGAAGUUUUUCGGUCUAAGGCUCUUAUCGGCGUCUAUUUCUGUUGGUCUAAGUCGAGGUUUCUGUUGGCGUCGUUUUUCUGAUCCGGUCAGUUGGUUUCUUUCUCUGCGAUUUGGCUUUCACUUUUUUCUGGAUUCAGAAGCUGGGUUUAGCUUCAUUUUGUUGUUUGUUGUUGUUGUUUCAUCAACCUAUAAAUGUUUCUCUGUUGAACAUGCGCUGGUUAAUUUCGAUCAUCUUUUCAACCUUUAUUUGGCUCUUCUAAACUGUUCUGUUGUUGAUUGAGGUAUGGACCUCAGUUUUAGAUAAUGUAAUUGUUUAAAUGCCAUAGUGUUAUGAGAAUGGUUUGUUCAUUUUGUGUUUGUCAAAUGAUCUUGUUUUGAUUGGUUGAUAAUUGAAUGCUUGACUAUGUAUAACACCUAAAGCAUGCACAACUUCUAACGCCUUAGCUAUAAUCUGUGGCCUGUCAAUAAACCUCGAAUUAAUUUAGGAAGUAAGUAUGAGCCCUCAUAGUUCGUUUUAAUUUGAGUACAAAUCCUUUGAAGUGAAUUGAGGCGUGUCAUUCGCAAAAUAAAUCCCAUAAUCUAUGGCCUUCACAUUAAUAUCAAAACAAGUGUAGAAAGACUUGGAACAUUCAUAACUAGUGUAGAAAACACUUUGAACAUUUGUAGUUUGCUUUAGGCGUGUUUAUAAUAAAUUAUUAUGGGCACGAUUCUCAUGACAUAGUUACGUUACGUAAUUUCCAAAUCCGGGGUACAUUUAUGUGACCUGGCCAUAAUUUCUAAUUUUGUUAAUGAAUUAAACAUGUUGUAUAUCGUGGGUACGGUUCCCGUGACAUGAUUCGCGAUAUUUACCAAAUAAACAAGUGUAUGACAAUCGUGAUUUAUUGUAUAAAUGUUGAAGACGGUUAAAAGGAAUAAAAUGCACAAUAGGUAUAAAAUAUGUAAUUAAUCAGAUAAUUAGGCCAAUAAUAAUAGUUGAGAGACGGUGCUAAAACUACGGAACUCGAGAAUGCCUAAUACCUUCUCCCGGGUAAAGAGAAUUCCUUACCCGGAUUUCUCUGUUUCACGGACUAUAAAACAGAGUCAAACUUACUCGAUUCGAGAUUUUAAACUGGUGACUUGGGACACCAUAAAUUAUUCCAAGUGGCGACUCUAAAUUUGAAUAAAUAAUCUUGUUUCGAUUAUUGUCACUUUAAUUGAAAAAAAUUCCCCUAUACCGCUUCCGGUGGUAGAAAAAGGACGUGUGACAGCUCUGGCGACUCUGCUAGGGACAAGAACCCAGAAUCUCUAGUUCAGGGUUCAAGAAUUCGAGCUUAGAAUAAUUGUUAUUUUUGGAUUUUAUUUAUUAUCUGAUUUUUACUUGUUUGGGCCUAAUGUGCUAAAUGCCGCUUUUUACCGCUUUGAUAUUAUUUGAACUGUAUAUAAACUGUUGCAAAACCAUUCUCUUCUCAUCUUCGGGGAAGUGCACGCUGGCGUGACUUCUUUUCUGUUAGUGUCAUACCAUAAUUUAGAAAGUGGUUCGGACAAAUUACAAAGCCGGAUGGACUUUUGGUUCUCGGUACGUAGCCCUCACCCCCCCCCCCCCCCCGGCUCGAGUUGUCCGCUCGGGUACACCAAGUUUAGAAUAAGAUACCCAGGUUUUAAACCUAGAAUAACUCAGCCUCAUGUCGGAUCCCUAGUAGGAAUGCUUGUUUGCAUCAUAUGCAUUUGACUUUGGGGAGUCAACACAGGGGUUGGGUCCGUCUAGGUCAGGCGUACCCGAAAAUAAAAAGACCAUCCUGCAUCUUAUGUGCUAAAUGUUGUAGUCUUCAAGGGUAAAAUGGGUCAUUUAGCGGACCAAUGAUGGUUGAGGAUAAAUGAGAAAAAAAGAGGGUGAAGUGUAAAAAAAUAAAGCAAGUAGGGCUCAGUUAUGUUUUUCUUUCACAUUUUUUUUAAAAAAGAAAAAACAAAAAAAAAGGAAAAAUCCAAAAAGAUUUUUGCACUUUCCCGUCAUUUUCCAAAAAAAAAACAAAAAAAGGAAAAAUAAAAUCAAAAAAGAGUUUACAUGUUUCAUCAUUUUUCAAAACAAAAGACAAAAAAUAUAUUUUCUCUAAAUUAGUUGUUUUUUUUAUUCUCGCUAUUAUCCAAUCUGCCUGAAAAACACGAACCUGAUUCUCGUCUCUCGGGGUGGAAUACGUAGGCAACCCACAUAGGGUUCGGUCUUCCUAGUGCGUCUUAGGUUCUUGGUUUCGCGGGGUCUUAGCCAAACCUUGCAUCUCUAGCCACUUUUGGCCACAUCGGUCAUUUUGCAAAAUAGGGCUAUUUUUGCAAAGUGGUUUGUUUAAUUGUCUGGAGAGCUUUCAAUCCACAAUUAGGUGUCUCUUUGCAUGUCUAGCCGCUUUUGGCCAUAUCGGCCAUUUUGCAAAAUAGGGCUAUUUUCGCAAAAGUGGUUCAAUUAACCCAUGUCUUAGAGUCCUGGGUCCACAACAAGAUGUUCUCUCUGUUUAAGGUCCAUUGAAUUGAAUUUGCAUGCUUAGCCAUCCUUUUUUCCACAUAGGUCAUUUCUACAAAAUGGAUCAUUUCUGUAAAGUAAUUUUUCCGUGUCUUAGAGGUCACCUUUGUUGAGUUUGCAUUUCUAGCAACCUUUUGGCCACAUAAGUCGUUUUGCAAAAAUAGCUUCAAUCAUUUCUUGCAUAUGUCCAGUAAGGAGUGUUAUUGUCUCACAUAUGUUGGUUUCAGUUUUCUAAUACAGGUGUGGAUCUACUUAUCGGAGUUUGAGAAUGACAGACACCCCCGGACCAACCAGUCAAGAAUGCUCAUUCAAGAGUUGCUUAAGGAGAUCUUUUUUAUGUUUAGUUUGUUUUUUUAUGUCGUCUUUUACCUUCUAGUUUUGUACAUUAAUGUCGAGUCUUUUGUUAUUGUACUUUCUAUUUUGUAUUUGAAAAAGUGUGUUGUAACUCAAAAACCC
rnacentral:lncRNA from 1 species